GGAGCUGUCGUAAAAUUCUCUCCAGCUUUUUCCUGUAAUGACCGAUCGCAAGGACGUAACGGGAGGUUUUUUUUCUCUUGCAAAAGCUUGAUUUUCCCCAAUCUAAAUGCAGCAAACAGCACAAAUAUGGGGCUGCCCAAAGUUAUGCGUGUCUUGGGAUAUGUUGCUAUUGAUUAAGCGGCAAAAGAAUGUCCGUAGCAGGAGAGGAUUGCUUUAGGUUGUUGUCUCCAGGAUUGAUGAAAAUGUCGUGAUUCGGCACGUUGGUUGCUUAGCUGGCCGGCUGUCAUAUUGCUGUUUCAAUUUUUGCUGACUGAGACUCUUUCUAUAUGUUUUUAUCUUGCGGGGGGUGGCGGGGGGAAUUUCCUGCAUCGCUGUAACAGAGUUUUUAAUAUAUAUUUGUAGCUUGCUUAAAAACACGCAGGUAAUACUAUGUUGAUAUGCAUUGGGUUGGACAUAAAGAACAAUAUCGGAAGGAAAACAGCUGCUUGUGCUGUUCUCCAAAUAGUUCCAGAACAUCUGGCCCAGGAAUCCAUGCAGAAGGCACUUGUUGAAUCACACCCUGCAAAUGUGUGGAACCCUAUAAAAGAAAUUCAUCCCUUGUGGCCUAAAGCUGCAGUGACAUUUUGAAAAUCAACUAUAUGGCUUCAUUGAUUAAUCUCAGUGGAAAAAAUAUAAAUUGAUGCCCUGACUCAUUUGACACCCUGCUAUGCCCCUUUGUCAGUGAAAGGAAGAGGCACAGGAGGUGUUCCAACCUGCUCCACAGACAAGACUAUCCCUACAAUCAACACUUUAACUUGUUUUAAGCAAUGGCAGAAGGAUAUAACUAAGUUUGUUUGGCAAGGGAAAAGACCAAGAAUUAAUUUUAAGAAUUUAAUAGAUGCAAAGGAAAGAGGUGGUCUUACCUUGCCGGACUUAAGGUUGUAUUUUGAGGCUGUUUGUUUGACGUGGCUAAAAGAAUGGAUAACAUUAAGAAACCCUAGAAUACUUGACUUGGAAGGAUUUGAUAGAAGGUUUGGAUGGCACUCAUAUCUGUGGUAUGAAAAAAUCAAAAUACAUAAAGACUUUUUGAACCAUUAUGUAAGAAGGAGUUUAAUGAGGUUUGGCUAAAAUAUAAAAAUUGGUUGGAACCUAAAACUCCGUUAUGGAUAUCUCCAAUUGAAGCCUUAUCACAUAAAGAAGUAAAUAUGCAAACGCACUGGGGUACUUAUAGGAAUUUGUUAUAUUUCCAGGAAAAGGGCUGUAAGUUAAAAAGUUUAACUGAAAUACAAAAUUUGGUUAGAGAUUGGUUUCAGUAUCAUCAGUUAAAUGAAAUAUAUAAGAAGGAUUUUAAAGUUGGAUUUGAGGAUCAGAUUUCGAGCUUUGAGAAGGAAUUAUGUGAAAAGGAUGAAAAAUUAGUUUUGAAAAUGUAUAAACUUCUACUUUUGGAAGAGACAAGAGAGGAAGUGGUUAAAAUGACCAUGAUAAAGUGGGGUCAAGAUGUGGGUCAUAAUAUAGAAAUGGCAGCCUGGGAAAAAUUAUGGAAAACUGAUUCAAAAUUUACUGCAUGUUAUGCUUUAAAAGAAAAUUAUUAUAAAAUGAUGUAUAGAUGGUAUCUGACACACAAAAAAAUUGGCAUUAAUGUAUAAAAAUGUUUCAAACAAAUGUUGGAAGUGUGGAGACUCUGAAGGCACUUUUUUUCAUAUGUGGUGGACCUGUGGGAAGGCUAAAGCCUAUUGGGAUAUGAUAUAUAAUGAGUUAAAGAAAAUAUUUAAAAUGACAUUUCCUAAGAAGCCAGAAUCCUUCCUGCUGGGGAUAACACAAGGUGUAAUUUCUACAACUAACUUAACAUUUUUUAUGUACGCUUCUACGGCGGCCAGAAUUAUAUAUGCACAGAAAUGGAAGAGUAAUGAACUGCCUUCAAAAGAGGAUUGGCUGAUAAAAAUUUUGGAAUAUGCGGAGAUGGCAAAACUUACAACACUGAUAAGAGAUCAAAAUUUGGAAGGCUUCAAAGAAGAUUGGAAACCAUUCUUCUUGUAUCUAAAGGAUAAUUUCCCUACUAUGGACUUUACAGCAGGGUUUGAAACUUAGUAAAAAAACUGCAGGUUGGGUAGAUUAACUAUGUUUGUAAGGGUUUAAAUUUAUGUUUUGAAUUAUUAUUAUAGCAAGGGUUAAACUCUAUAGCCGAUGAUUCAUAAAGAGAGGUGUGCAGGAAGUCCACUUUUGUGUAUAUUGUAAUGAAUGACAAUAUUAUUAUUGUUAAAAUCAAUAAAAAUUGAAUUUGAAAAAAAAACAA